CUUUAUUCAGCCAGGAGGUCAGCAGACUUGCAUCUCAAGAACAGAACUGAGCUCUCCAAAGACUUCAUUUGGCCAGGAGCGUCAAUGGACUUGCGUCUCAACAACAGAAGCGAGCUCCCUGAAGAAAGAGUUCCUGGCCUUUUUAAGGGCUUACAAUUGUAAGGCGUCCACGUGACAGGGUCGUGGUAGGCUGAGCAAGCAUGGGGCAAGGAUGUGUCAACAUAGAGACUUAGGAGGACAAAGUGAACUUCCUGAGCCCCAAUAGGCAGGAGUCCUGCCAAAGCCAAAAUGUAUGUGUCACCUUGGAAGAUGAUGCCCCAGGAAGAAUGGGGAGAAGGGAGGAGGAAAAACUGCUGAUGAGGCUGGCUUGCUCUUCGGGGCCCGUCAUAUCAGCAAAGCCAGCUCUUCUGAGAUGGAAGAACAAAGAUGCUUCUCCUCUGUGAAGAGGUGACAGUGGUGUUCUGGGUGAAGGAGAGCAGCUUUGUCCUGGAAGGAAUCUGACUUGGAAGGAGGCCCAGUUGUCCAGCAGGUGCGUGCUCCCUUUCUUCUCUGGCUUCCAAAGAGCUCUCUGCAAAGCUCCUUCGCGGAGCUGCUGGCAGGAGGUCCUUUGCUGGGGGGCAAUCCAUGGGGACGUCUGGAGCAGUGGGAGCCUAUCUUGGGACCUGGAUGGGAGCUGCUCCACCUCAGCACCCAGACUAUGAGGCACAGGGCUGGGCACUACGAGGCCAUGAGUUAAAGCAGCCUGGAUUUGGAUUUCAGAAGAACUGGGCUUGAGUCCUAGUUCUGCCACAAACCAUGUGACUCUUAGACAGUCACUUUAUGUUUUUAUUUCCUUGGCGGUAAAACUCAUUACCUACAAUAUGGGAAUUGUAAGGAACUACUGAAAAAACAAAUCUUAAAAUGUUCUGUGCAGACUCUCAAAUACUGUGCAAAUAUUAAACUGUUGUAAAAUCCA